UUGCGGCUUGGGUGCUGGAUGCGCACCUCGAUCCGUUGUGGGCGGAUCGGCCGGAUGCACGCGAUCUCCGAAGAUCGCUGCCGUCAAC
rnacentral:tRNA from 1 species